rnacentral:rRNA from 1 species
GAAUUUUGGACAAUGGGGGCAACCCUGAUCCAGCCAUGCCGCGUGCGGGAAGAAGGCCUUCGGGUUGUAAACCGCUUUUGUCGGGGAAGAAAUCCUCUGGGCUAAUACCCCGGGGGGAUGACGGUACCCGCAGAAUAAGCACCGGCUAACCACGUCCCGGCAGCCGCGGUAAUACGUAGGGGGCAAGCGGUAAUCGGAAUUACUGGGCGUAAAGGGUGCGCAGGCGGUUGUGCAAGACAGAUGUGAAAUCCCCGGGCUUAACCUGGGAACUGCAUUUGUGACUGCACGGCUGGAGUGCGGCAGAGGGGGAUGGAAUUCCGCGUGUAGCAGUGAAAUGCGUAGAUAUGCGGAGGAACACCGAUGGCGAAGGCAAUCCCCUGGGCCUGCACUGACGCUCAUGCACGAAAGCGUGGGGAGCAAACAGG